CACGUAGGGUGCGAGCGUUGUCCGGAAUUAUUGGGCGUAAAGAGCUCGUAGGCGGUGUGUCGCGUCGGCCGUGAAAACCUGCAGCUUAACUGUGGGCUUGCGGUCGAUACGGGGCAUCACUGGAGUUCGGCAGGGGAGACUGGAAUUCCUGGUGUAGCGGUGAAAUGCGCAGAUAUCAGGAGGAACACCGGUGGCGAAGGCGGGGUCUCUGGGCCGUAACUGACG
rnacentral:rRNA from 1 species